ACUAGUUUAACCACGAACCUAUGCUAGGGAGUGUGUGUGUGCGACGUGGCACAUUGACACACUUUCCAUCCACAAACUUUAAAAAUAAAGUUGAGAUUUCACAUUCUUCUUUCUUCUCUUUUCCAGAGAUUUGGAAGAACACGACCUGAAAGUCUCCUUCAACGAGUAAACAUCUGAAGAGGUUGGGAGGCGUUGAUGCUGCAGACCAUGUGAAGAAGUCAAUGGCUGCAUAAAUGCUGUCUUGAGGUCAUUUGAUACAACUACAAUAAAAGUAGACGAAUACAUGGCCAAAUACUUGAAAUAUGCACCAGAGAGGAUGGGUGGCGGUGGCAGAAAGAAGUAACAAGAAGGGAAGGUUUAACCAGCCGUGUUCAAUGUUGCCCAAUGUUUGGGCCGUUUUACUAAAGGUUAAAGUUCGACACGUGUAAAAUGAUGUUGCGUGAAAUGUUUACACACUUGCAGCUAUGUAAUAAAGCAUGUUUCCUACGUCA